AUAUGGUCCAGUAUGUCAGAAAAAUCCAGUUCACCUUCGUAGGCUUUUUCACCUCAUCUUAUCAAAAGCAAAAAAAUCAAAUGUGUUUCAUAGGAUUUGCUAUAUACGUGUACCCCUUUGUAGGCUUUUUCAGUUCAAAUUUUGCUAGCAAAAAUAGAUUUGUAGCAGUUCAACAUAAAAAGUGAAACCAGUUAGUUGAUGGGAAAUAAUUCAAUUAUAUAUGUAUACACUGCAGUAGGAGUUCGGUACAAAAAAAAUUAGCGGUUUGUUAAACAAAAAUAGAAACACAUAUUGUGGUUUAGGGCCUAGACUACAAACACUUCAGUAGCUAAAAAAUGUUCAAAAUAUAGUUACAAUAGUAGUUCGGAGUUCAAAUAUAGUUACCGUCAACGAAUUGGAAUUUUUCAGAUGUUGAGAGGGAAAAAUGCACUGCUUAGUUCAGAAAUAGCUGGAAAAAAAAACUAUAGCUUUCUGUAUGCAUGUUUUAUGUUCUUGCAACAAGUGACACCAAACCUGUUUGAUGGAAUGUUCAGAAGGAAUGAUCACACACAAGUGACACGCUCAGUUCAAAAAUCUUAUUUUAGAUCAGUGCAAUUCUUAUGAAGCUCUAAUGGACCUUAUGAUUGCAGCAGAGCUGGACUUCCUCGUAUUCAAGUGCACGCAAGGAGUCUACAAGUGCAGGAAUGGUGGGCUCCCAGCCUAUCGAGACCUAAACAUUCGAGUUCAAUUUAGAAGUAUUUACAAUUGUUCAGACCUGAGUUUACAACGGAAAACAUUUGGAAGUUUAGCGAGCGAAAAUA